rnacentral:rRNA from 1 species
CUACCAGAGUACUAUGAAUGAAUAAAAAUUUAAAACUCAAAGGACUUGGCGGUGUCUUAGACCAUUUAGGGGAACCUGUCUCGUAAUCGACAGUCCACGUUAUACCUGACCUUUCUUUGUAAAGCAGUUUGUAUACCGUUGUCGUCAGGUAACUUUUUAGAAAAAUGAAGUUAGCAAUAUAAAUAAAUUAUUUGGGACGUCAAAUCAAGGUGCAGCUAAUGGAAAGGAGAGGAUGGGUUACAAUUAUUUAAUUUAUAAUUUUACGGAUAUAGUUAUAGAAAAAUUCUAUGUAAGGAGGACUUAAAAGUAAAUUGAUAUAUAAAGACAAUUUGAAUAAGGCUCUGAGACGUGU